rnacentral:lncRNA from 1 species
UGGUAAAAGUGUUUUAAUUAUUUGAGUUUAGAUAGAGUUUUAGAUACAAAAAUGAAUAUGAUAAAGCAACUAGAGUUCCAUAUAGUGACUAGAGCCAAGGAGAAUUAUUGGGGAUAUUAUAUAUAUACAUGCAUGACAAACAAUAUGAAUUCUUAUUAGCUCUUCUGGAUGAAAACCAAAACUAAAACCAUAUUGGCUUAUGCCUAAAGGAAACAAGCUCUAUUGAUUAUGUUGUGUGCUCUAGCAAACAUUUAGGAGUUGACCUAGAUAAGUAUCGAAUUAGAGGAUAGAUGAUCAUUUGAGGAAGAGACUUAAUUAAUGGCCAUUGGAUAGAUAAAGUCAUGCGAGCUUAUGUCUAAAGUGGACAUAUAUGUUAUAUCAUUGUGAAGAUAGUGGAGAGUCAUUGUCCCUUAACAAGAUGGGUAGGAGUACAAACAAAAGAUCUACCAUGCUUAAAAAAAGAAGAGAUUAAUUAUAUAUAAUUUAGAACAAUAAAUUCCAUCAAUAUGAUGUUUUUUAAUGAUUCCAAAUCCAAGAAGGCUUAAGCUAAUUAAAAAUAGACGAUAUCGUACCAUUGUAGAAGUCCCUUGUUUUUGUCACUUUAUUAGAGUUGAUGAUUUAAACCUAGGAACUAGAACACAAAUCUUCAUAUUUUGAAUAGAGAAAACUAGUGAGCCUCAUUUCUUCGAAGGUGUCUUCUACUCACCUUAAAAAAAGAGGAAGCGGAAUUAUCUGUUCUCUUUUGGAUAUUAACUUUAGAAUUAAGAAUUGUUUGUGCUUUAGAAUGAAAGAGCAAGCUCUCAUUGUUAGGAGUGGAUAGAUAUGUUUGGAGAGAGCUUCAAGCCUCUUACUUUGUUCGAGGAGAGGAUUGUUAGGUAGAUAUAUAGAAAAGGUCUUACAUUCGACAGACAAAAAAAAGAGAGGAUCUAUAUGAUAUAUAUGAGUGAUCGAGAACAAGAAUCUCUAUCGACAUGAUGUGUUUUAGGUAGUUUAAAAAACAAAAGUCAUGAAGACUUAAAUCAUCCAAAGUGAAUAAUAUAAUGACAUCGUAGAGAUCCUUUAUCCUUUUAUCAAUAAGCUUUUAAAAAUAACGACAUCAACUAAAACAUAUAGGAAAUUUGAAUUUUCUCCUUAAAAAAAAGUUGAGGCAGAUGCAUAUGCCCAUGUCCUAGAAAACAAUAGUUGUAAGAAAUUUUGUAAACAUUAAACCCAACGGUACAAUCUUUCUAAAAGUUCUUCUGCUUUAAAGAUUUAUAUAUAUCUAGAAAUAUAGUUUUAAUGGCUUUCAUAAUCCAAUAAUGUCAAGCUAAUUAAUAUUUCCUAUUUCAAUUACUUCUUAAUUAGAAUAAGAAAAGAACUAAUUUUAGAUCACAUACCAAUUAAUAGGUCCAAAAUGUUGAAAGCAAAAUUUCUGUUGUUGAGUUUAUUUAUUUAAAGGUUUUCAUUUUUAGAAAACAUAGACUAAAACAAUUAAUGACCACAAAUCUGUCAACCAUUAAUCUUAAUGAUGAAACUUCUUCUAAUGCAAUAGCAAUAAGGCAACUAACACUGAAACAAAAAAGGUAAAUCAAAUCUUUAAUCUCACAACAACCAUUUCUAAAUAUUAUGUUAAUUAGAUUAGAUUACACAAAAAAAAAUCUGAUAAUUAACAUUUAAUUCUAUCAACAUGCACUUAUUAAUUCUGUUUAAAUGAACUUUACCCAAAGUCUCCACUGUUGAAGAAUCUUAUGUUAAUGGUUAAGAAGGCUUUUAUAAUCUAAACCAGAAAACUAGAAUAUCCUAAGAAACUUAAAAUAAAAAAGAACACAAAUCCAAAUUUGUCACAGAAAAUAAAAAUACUUAUAAUUUAUACUUUAAUAAGACUUCAUUAAUUUUUUUAAAAAAGAACUUAAAAAUAAUAGAUCGACAUGUCAUUUUGGUUUGUAUUAUCAAUCUCGAAGAAUCUCUAUCAAAAUAAGCAUAGUUCAACCUAGAUAAUGUUUAUAAUAUCAAAUUUAGAAGUAGAGAUUCAAUUCUUAGUUGCACCCAAUAUGUGGUAAAAUAACGAAAAAAGAAUUAUCCACAGCAACUUAAAAUUGGUAUGGAAUGAGAGUAGAAAGAAAAGAAAACAGAUGGAUCACUUGCAGGUUAAGCCAUAAAAAAACUUUGAGACAGAAAAAGGAAAUCACUAUUUAGGAACAAAGUUCCCAUGAUGUUCCAUUGAUUCAUACAUAAAUCAAUCAAAGAGACAGAAAAAAGGGGAACACUUAUUUCAACUUUUAUUUUUCUUUUCUUUUUCUUUUUUAUUUUUGAAUGUAGGUGGGUUUUGUUUGUGAAAUAUUGAACAAAAUAGUGCACAGUUCUUAGCUGAGAAAGAAAACAGAUGAAUUGAUAAAAUUAUAUUAAGGUGAAGAAGAAUUAAGACAGCAAAAACACUAUAUAAACGAAGGAAAAUUCACAUGCAAAUAUAUAACACACACACUUAUAUAUCAUAUCAUAUCAAUGUAUAUAUUUUUAUAUUAUAUGGUCAUUCCAUUUCCAUCCAUGCAUGGGGAGCACAAAAUCGCACAGAAUCACAAAAGAGCCAAAAACUAGUAAAAGGUGAGAAUUUAAAUGAAGUAUUUAAUUAAGUCAAUCAUAAAAAUAAAAAUUAAAAAAAAAAAAAAAAGUCCUUUGUUUGAUUUGAGAGAGAGAGAGAGAGAGAGAGAGAGUACGGUUCCAAAAUUCAUACAGUAGCUUCUGAUCUUUGUGAAAAAAAAAAUCUUUGUUUUAAUUACUAAAUUGAUUAUAUAUCCUAUAUAAAAAUUAGGGUUUUUGUUCUUAAUUUGAAUUACGUUAUUUCUAGGGUUUUUGUAUUUGAUUUCCCCCCUUUUGUUCCUUACAACUAACUCGAAAUCGAUAUUAUGAGCUUUUAUUGACUAUUAUUCCCAGGUAUGUAUGUUAUGAAUCAAUUAUUGGUUUGUAAAAUGAAGUCUAUUUUAAAGGCUAAUUAUUAUGGGUAUUUUAAUAAAAUAUAUAGAUAGAUAUAGAUAUGAAAAUUAAAUGGAAAUGGAAAUGGAAAUUUAUUUACCAGGAUAAAUUGAAUCAAGGGAGAUGCUUGAUGGGUUGUUUGCUGUUGGAGUUGGUGUUGUUGUUGUUUGUUGUUGUUGAUAUCAUCAUCGUUGGAUUUCAAUUGAGUUCUUUUUCUCUUCUUUUUCUUGUACGGAAUUCCUCUAGCUUUAGCUUGACACUCCUUAACUUCCCUUAAAUAAACACGAAUUGCUCCAUUUCCGAAAGGGUUUGUUUCAGGCGAUCCGCCGUGUUCUUCAUAGGCAGCUCGAAGACGGCCGAUGAGGGCGUCGAGACUUCCCCAUGCUUGACGGAGUGGGCAGGUACAAGGGGCAGGUGGGUCAGGCUGCCCGAAAAAAACACA